rnacentral:rRNA from 1 species
UACGAAGGGGGCUAGCGUUGUUCGGAUUUAUUGGGCGUAAAGAGCUCGUAGGCGGCUUGUCGCGUCGACUGUGAAAUCCCGCGGCUCAACUGCGGGUCUGCAGUCGAUACGGGCAGGCUAGAGUUCGGUAGGGGAGACUGGAAUUCCUGGUGUAGCGGUGAAAUGCGCAGAUAUCAGGAGGAACACCGGUGGCGAAGGCGGGUCUCUGGGCAGUAACUGACGCUGAGGAGCGAAAGCGUGGGGAGCGAACAGG